UGACCUAUCACGCGUUGGGGUUUUGGGGGCCGGUUUGGUGAGCACCAGUGGAUAGAGGAGGAAACGACAGCUGUCUACCAUCAGACCAGCCAAACGGACCGGACUAAUAUAUUUAUUAGAUUUUAUUCAACUUUUAUUUUUGUUUAUUGAUUGGUGUGAGUGAAAACUGUGUUCCGAAGUCCGGAGCAGAGGAGCUGAGAGCACCAUCUCUACACAGCAUGACCCCGGAGAGAGAUAGGAGGAGGGUAAUGAGUUGUGAAGCAGCGAGGGCUAGGCGGAGAGCAGAGUCUCAGGUGUUGACUGACAUGUCUCAACUCCUCCCACUCCCUUCCUCCCUCCGCCCACACCUAGACAAACCCUCCAUCAUACGACUAACCAUCAGCUACCUACGUAUACACACACUGCUCUCUGGCUUUGCUGACCGACAGACGUGGGAGAGGAGGGGCGAGAGGGGGGAGGACGAGGGAGAGAUGGUGACGAAGGAGGAG